UACAGAGGUCCCAAGCGUUGUUCGGAAUUACUGGGCGUAAAGGGCUCGUAGGCGGCCAACUAAGUCAGACGUGAAAUCCCUCGGCUUAACCGGGGAACUGCGUCUGAUACUGGAUGGCUGGAGUUUGGGAGAGGGAUGCGGAAUUCCAGGUGUAGCGGUGAAAUGCGUAGAUAUCUGGAGGAACACCGGUGGCGAAGGCGGCAUCCUGGACCAAUACUGACGCUGAGGAGCGAAAGCCAGGGGAGCAAACGGG
rnacentral:rRNA from 1 species